CGAAAUACUAAUCGAACCAUCUAGUAGCUGGUUCCCUCUGGCUCCCAUCAUUGCAGCCGCCCGUCCCUCGAAGUGUUCGCAAGACAGCAAUUGA
rnacentral:rRNA from 11 species